GAGUUUGAUCCUGGCUCAGAACGAACGCUGGCGGCGUACUUAACACAUGCAAGUCGGACGAGAAAGAGACUUCGGUCUCUGAGUACAGUGGCGCACGGGUGCGUAACACGUAAGUAAUCUACCCCAACCCUAGGGAUAACUCUCCGAAAGGAGAGCUAAUACUGGAUAGUGUCCUUGAAGUGGAGACUGCAAGGGGAAAACAAGCCUCUGUUGCAUGCUUGCGGUUUGGGAUGAGCUUGCGGCCCAUUAGCUUGUUGGUAGGGUAAUGGCCUACCAAGGCGACGAUGGGUAGCUGGUCUGAGAGGAUGAUCAGCCACACUGGGACUGAGACACGGCCCAGACUCCUACGGGAGGCAGCAGUGGGGAAUAUUGGACAAUGGGGGCAACCCUGAUCCAGCCAUGCCGCGUGAGUGAAGAAGGCCUUCGGUUGU
rnacentral:rRNA from 1 species